CAGCCGUACUAAUAACUUGACAUUGAAACACCUCUGUGGAGGUUCGUGAUUAACAUGGUUAGUCAUCCCCGUAUACUUUGCUCCCCUUCCAUAGAUUGUCUUUCAUAUAUCUUCAGCGCCUAGACCUCUUGUUCAACACGCACUUGAAGAAGGACAGGAUUCUUCAUAUAUCUCAAAGAGAGCAGCCCCUUUUGCUGUCUGAGGCUUCACAUCAAAGGAAUGGCAGUUUCUUCUCGUGAAAACUCAGUUGAGAGGAGGACGGAAAUGGUGUUCUAUCAGUAUUGAAUUGAUCGACGUUGAUCAAUUUUAACGUUGAUCAGUUCUCCUUUGGUUUGUAAAAGAUGAAUCUCAAUGGAGGGGUUCCUAUUGCCGAGAAGUUCUUUUCAGAGAAACUUUCUGGCAAGAAUAAUGAAGACAUGGCCUUGGUUCUAUUCCCCAACGGUAUCGAAGGAGGCAUGGAAUUUCUUGUUGAUAAAGAAGCCAUGUCUCGGAGGUAAAAUGUCAACGAUCUUAUAUAAUUAAAAGCUUUCUGAAGCCCUUAACAUGGAAUUUCUCCAACGGAAAAAACAGCUUGGCCCCAGAAAGAUUCACGGCUGUAAAUGGCUUAUACAAAAUAAGGGAAUGGGUUGAAGAU